rnacentral:misc_RNA from 1 species
UCCAACUCUAAAUUAAUUAUUGCACUCCGACUUCUUUUUCUACCGGCUUGAACAAUGGGACGGGUCAAAUUAUUUGGACAAUAAAAUUUAAUAUUUCGAACCUAUUAAUUAAUUUAGGCUUAAAAUAAUAAAAUUAAUUGUGGUGCAAACAACUAUAUACCCAGCUUUAACAAAAAUAAUCCCUCCAGAACAUUGGAGCAUGAAAAGUUAUCACCAAAAGCUAUCAAGGCUUAAAAUUGGAUUUUACCAACAACAGUAUUUAACAGCACUUUCAACCUCUGGAUCAUAUUAUGGACCAUUUCGAGCGGAGGCAGGGCAUUAAUCACCGAUUGAAGCUGGGCACGAACCAAGACAUGAAGAACGACCAGACUGUUGAUCUGUCCGCAUAUGGGUGGAGAGUUGGUGUCGUGCAAGUGUGAGGCUGAAGUAUGUGAGGACUUAGUGAUGGCGCUUUAUCGCUGAGUGGGUCAGUGGUGGAAGAGUAUAGCGUUUUGUCUUCGGGGGAGGGAUGAAAUGCUAAGAGCAAGGACAACAAGGGCGAUGCCGAUUCUUCUUAUGGAGCAGGGACUUGAAACAGGGGCGUGGGUUUGCUAUGUGGCGUGUUGGACUACAGGGGAAGAUUGGGGAAAGCUUUGGUGAGGUGAGGUAGGUGCGAGCUGCUGCCUUGAAGAGAUAGGUUUCGAGUGGAGAAGGUAAGUUCUGUCUUCUGCCUUGGGUUGUCUGGAGCAUGUAAAGCGGCACUGAUGAAGGAAAUAGAUGGGUGUGAAAAUUGGGUCUCUGAAGGAACUUCAAUCUUCUGUUUAGCUAGUGAAGGGCAAGGAUGAGGAUUAACAAAGGUUAAAAGUGGGCCUUUGAGUUGAUGGGGCCGUGCUUUGGGCUUGGAGCACAGAGGACGAUGUUGAUCAUUGAGGUGAUGCUAAGGUUGCUGAAGGAGAAGGGAUUGGGUCUCUAUAAAAUGGUAGCGAAAAGGUGUAUUUUUCUUGGGAGGAUGCUGUGGGAUUUCUAUAUGAAAGGCAAAAAGUAAAAGAUGAAAAUUAAUGUGCUUAUUUCAUGCUUUUUCAAACUUUCUCCCCCAAUUGCUCUCUCUAAUUUUCCCCUCACAAU